UGGUGGUGGUGAUGAUGAUGAUGAUGAUGAUAAUGAUGAUGAUGAUCAUCAUCAUCAUUAUCAUCAUUGUCAUCAUCAUCACAA
rnacentral:pre_miRNA from 1 species